UGGUAAGGCCCUGGGAAGGAGCCGCGCAGGUAGGGAAGAUGGUGCAGGCGACGGGGGCCUGGAGCCAGGAAAGUGCUUGGAGAUACUGUGGGCCUGGCCAAAGGAGAACUGCCCAGAGGGCGGAGCCAUGGGCGGAGGGAGGUGGAGCUGAAGAGGAGCCUAUAGUGGGAAGAAGAUAGAAGCGACCCUGAAGAGGCGGGCCCGGAAGCAGGGGGGGAGGAGGGGCCCUAGGGGUGGCUACUCAGGGCGGGAGCCGGAAGGAGGCGUGCCUCAGGGAAGGACUGACCGGUGGUGCUCGAGGUGGGCGGAGCCUGAGGAUGGCGCUCAAACUAGCAGGCCGUGGUGGUGCCUGCUGGUUUGAACAAGGAUCCGGAAGAGACGAGGCAGGAAGAAACUCCUGGUCCUUUCGCUUUCAAGGAACGUGGCACCAAGACAGGGAUCUCUUACUUGAAUCGGUGUUCCACCCUCCAGUGAACAGCCAGAGUCUUCCUAAUGAGACCGCAAGAGGACCGUUGCCCUUCAUUCCUCAGCUAUGGACUUCCCUGAAAGUUGAGAACUGACCAUAUUCUCGAUGCCUCCUCUGACCUGUGAUUUCGUGACUCACAUCGCUUCCUCUGAACCUGUUUAAGAGACGGGAUUCCUUAGAAUGGGGCAGAGUUUGAAUUUAGAGUCCUGGCUUUGCCAUACCAGGAGUUAUAAUUGCCCUCCUGUUGUUUGAUGACCUCCUUGUCCUGUUUUAAAAGGAAGAUAAAUCAAAGAGUUCACGACCUUGAGAGUAUGCCUGGGACGUUCUUCCACAAACUCUGUUUUAAUAUCACCUCCUCAAAAGAGCUCUUCCCUG